GAUGAAGAACGUAGCGAAAUGCGAUAAGUAAUGUGAAUUGCAGAAUUCAGUGAAUCAUCGAAUCUUUGAACGCACAUUGCGCCCGCCAGUAUUCUGGCGGGCAUGCCUGUUCGAGCGUCAUUUCAACCAUCAAGCCCCAGGCUUGUGUUGGGGACCUGCGGCUGCCGCAGGCCCUGAAAACCAGUGGCGGGCUCGCUGUCACACCGGGCGUAGUAGAUUUUAUCUCGCUCUGGGCGUGCUGCGGGUUCCGGCCGUUAAAAAACCCUUUUAACCCAAGGUUGACCUCGGAUCAGGUAGGAAUGCCCGCUGAACUUAAGCAUAUCAAUAAGCGGAGGA
rnacentral:misc_RNA from 1 species